CAGCAGCCGCGGUAAUACGAAGGGGGCUAGCGUUGCUCGGAAUUACUGGGCGUAAAGGGCGCGUAGGCGGACAGUUCAGUCGGGGGUGAAAGCCCGGGGCUCAACCUCGGAAUUGCCUUCGAUACUGGCUGUCUUGAGUAUGAGAGAGGUGUGUGGAACUCCGAGUGUAGAGGUGAAAUUCGUAGAUAUUCGGAAGAACACCAGUGGCGAAGGCGACACACUGGCUCAUUACUGACGCUGAGGCGCGAAAGCGUGGGGAGCAAACAGGAUUAGAUACCCCUGUAGUCCCUGUCUCUUAUAU
rnacentral:rRNA from 1 species